ACUCCUACGGGAGGCAGCAGUGGGGAAUAUUGGACAAUGGGGGCAACCCUGAUCCAGCCAUGCCGCGUGUGUGAAGAAGGCCUUCGGGUUGUAAAGCACUUUCAGUAGGGAGGAAAGGUUGUACGUUAAUACCGUGCAGCUGUGACGUUACCUACAGAAGAAGCACCGGCUAACUCCGUGCCAGCAGCCGCGGUAAUACGGAGGGUGCGAGCGUUAAUCGGAAUUACUGGGCGUAAAGCGCAUGCAGGCGGCCUGUUAAGUCAGAUGUGAAAGCCCGGGGCUUAACCUCGGAAUUGCAUUUGAAACUGGCAGGCUAGAGUCUUGUAGAGGGGGGUGAGAAUUUCAGGUGUAGCGGUGAAAUGCGUAGAGAUCUGAAGGAAUACCAGUGGCGAAGGCGGCCCCCUCGAGC
rnacentral:rRNA from 1 species